GACGAACGCUGGCGGCGUGCUUAACACAUGCAAGUCGAACGGAAAGGCCCUGCUUUUGUGGGGUGCUCGAGUGGCGAACGGGUGGGUAACACGUGAGUAACCUGCCCUUGACUUUGGGAUAACUUCAGGAAACUGGGGCUAAUACCGGAUAGGAGCUCCUGCUGCAUGGUGGGGGUUGGAAAGUUUCGGCGGUUGGGGAUGGACUCGCGGCUUAUCAGCUUGUUGGUGGGGUAGUGGCUUACCAAGGCUUUGACGGGUAGCCGGCCUGAGAGGGUGACCGGCCACAUUGGGACUGAGAUACGGCCCAGACUCCUACGGGAGGCAGGAGUGGGGAAUAUUGCACAAUGGGCGGAAGCCUGAUGCAGCAACGCCGCGUGCGGGAUGACGGCCUUCGGGUUGUAAACCGCUUUCGCCUGUGACGAAGCGUGAGUGACGGUAAUGGGUAAAGAAGCACCGGCUAACUACGUG
rnacentral:rRNA from 1 species